CGGCCGAGAAUGAUGAGCUCGCGGCCUAUCAGCUAGUUGGGGGGGUAACGGCCCACCAAGGCGACGACGGGUAGCCGGCCUGAGAGGGUGACCGGCCACACUGGGACUGAGACACGGCCCAGACUCCUACGGGAGGCAGCAGUGGGGAAUAUUGGACAAUGGGCGAAAGCCUGAUCCAGCAACGCCGCGUGAGGGAUGACGGCCUUCGGGUUGUAAACCUCUUUCAGCAGGGACGAAGCGAAAGUGACGGUACCUGCAGAAGAAGGACCGGCCAACUACGUGCCAGCAGCCGCGGUAAUACGUAGGGUCCGAGCGUUGUCCGGAAUUAUUGGGCGUAAAGGGCUCGUAGGCGGUUUGUCGCGUCGGGAGUGAAAACUCAGGGCUCAACCCUGAGCGUGCUUCCGAUACGGGCAGACUAGAGGUAUUCAGGGGAGAACGGAAUUCCUGGUGUAGCGGUGGAAUGCGCAGAUAUCAGGAGGAACACCGGUGGCGAAGGCGGUUCUCUGGGAAUAACCUGACGCUGAGGAGCGAAAGCAUGGGUAGCGAACAGGAUUAGAUACCCUGGUAGUCCAUGCCGUAAACGUUGGGCGCUAGGUGUGGGGACCUUCCACGGUCUCCGUGCCGCAGCUAACGCAUUAAGCGCCCCGCCUGGGGAGUACGGCCGCAAGGCUAAAACUCAAAGGAAUUGACGGGGCGCCCGCACAAGCGGCGGGAGCAUGCUGAUUAAUUCGAUGCAACGCGAAGAACCUUACCUUGGGUUUGACAUAUACCGGAAAAGCUGCAGAGAUGUAGCCCCCCUUGU
rnacentral:rRNA from 1 species